GACGGAGGGCGCAAGCGUUGUUCGGAAUUACUGGGCGUAAAGCGCGGGCAGGUGGUCUGUUAAGUCGUUUGUGAAAAUCCGGGGCUCAACCCCGUGAAAUGCGUACGAUACUGGCAGGCUGGAGAUCGGUAGAGGCUAGCGGAAUUCCUGGUGUAGCGGUGGAAUGGGUAGAGAUCAGGAAGAGCACCCGUGGCGAAGGCGGCUAGCUGGGCCGAGUCUGACAAUCAUCCGCGAAAGCGUGGGGAGCAAACAGG
rnacentral:rRNA from 1 species